GACGAACGCUGGCGGCACGCUUAACACAUGCAAGUCGAACGAAAAUGUUUCACCGUAGCUUGCUACACCGAGACAUUUUAGUGGCGGACGGGUGAGUAACACGUGAGGAACCUGCCUAUCAGAGAGGGAUACCGUUUGGAAACGAACGUUAAUACCUCAUAACGUAACGAGAUCGCAUGAUAAUGUUACCAAAGAUUUAUCGCUGAUAGAUGGCCUCGCGUCUGAUUAGAUAGUUGGUGAGGUAACGGCUCACCAAGUCGACGAUCAGUAGCCGGACUGAGAGGUUGAACGGCCACAUUGGGACUGAGACACGGCCCAGACUCCUACGGGAGGCAGCAGUGGGGAAUAUUGCACAAUGGAGGAAACUCUGAUGCAGCGAUGCCGCGUGAGGGAAGAAGGUUUUCGGAUUGUAAACCUCUGUCUUCAGGGACGAUAAUGACGGUACCUGAGGAGGAAGCUCCGGCUAACUACGUG
rnacentral:rRNA from 1 species